GAGCUGGGCGGCGGAUAUGUCCUGGUUUGCCAUUGGCAAUAAGAAUGUUGUAUCUAAUGUUGGGAUCGCUUAUUAAAUCUUUUGAUUGGAAGCUUGAUAAUGAGGUUACAUCUGGGAACAUUGACAUGGAAGAGAAGUUUGGCAUCACCUUGCAGAAGGCUCAACCACUUCGUGUGGUUCCUGUUGCCAUUUAAUUAUGUGAAAUGAUAUAAGUACAAAAUGGUGACAUAAAUAAGUUUGAAAUGAUGUCAUUUCCUCACUUACUGUUAAAAAAAAGAAUAAAAUAAUCUCAGGCUUUUUUUUUUCCCCUCCUUCAUCACCAUUUUGUACGCCUGCUGUUGUAUUUAAUUAUGUGUACUUUGAGAAGGUUUAAAUAUUAGAGAAUAAAUAUACUUUUAAUAUGUCUUUCUCUUUAUAUUUGGUUUCUCCCCUUUGUGUGUGUGUGUGUGUAGCACACAAGAGAAUAGUUAAUCUCAUAUUGUCAUUUCAAGAUACCUAGAAAAUUUUCCAAAAACGAUUCCCGCCAUGACAAAUUGAUAAAGAGCAAGAGACCAUAUUUACAUUGAAAUUUAUAAUAUUUAAAAAUAUUUUAAUUAAUUUAUUUUUUAGUUUAAUUUGGUUACCUUUUUACAGUUUUGUUGUUUGUGCAUUAUGUAUUUGAGUUGUAUUUCUAAUUUAUAUAUGAGUCUUAUUAAAAUUAGUUUUUAGUCAAAUUAUAAUAAGUAUUAGUAUAAACAAUUGUCUUUUGUAGUUUUUAUAAGCAUGCCUUGAUUAUUUGUUAUUGGUUAUUUCGUGGAAUAAACUCUAGAUUUGAGUUUAAUAAUAUUUUUUCAAUUUUGAAAGAUUUGUGUGAGUUUUUGAGUUCAGUUAAUUAUCAGCAUUCUGUGAAAUCAAUGAGCUUUAACCCUCUAAAUUCACGAUAUUUAUUGUGAAUAAAAAACGUCAAUUUAGACCAUUCUUUUAGUAAGGGAUUUUCAAGAAUCAAUGGAAUAUUAGAAUAUUAAACUUUCACUACAACAAUUUGGCAUCAGAGCCAAAAGCUUGGUUGUACUAUUCUUAACACCUACCUUUUCUUUUUUCUUUUUUUAAUUUUUCCUAAUCUUCUUUUGCUUAAAAAAAAAAAAAGUCAAGGUCGAGUCAACCCUAGCCACCACAACCCAACCACAGCCGCUGCCAUUUGCAUUUGUGCUUUCCCUAUCCAGCAACCUCUUUCAUUGAUCAAGACCACUAUAGAGGUCAAAAGGAGUCACCAAUCCAACCUUGAGCAAAACCGUCACUGAUUAUCCAUAAAACUACUAGAAAACGACCAUAAAAUUUGUGAUUGCCGCAACCACUAUUCAUCAUUUUUUUUGCUAUGCAUUGAUUAACGCAUCCACUGCAAAUCUAUUCCCCUUUACUAGCACAAUCAUUCUAGUAACUAUCAUCUCCAAUUGACAUACCAAUCUUUGGAAUCAAGGCCAUCACCAACGGCUACAUUGUCUCAAAUUCCCCGAAUAAACCAUCGCCUUUUUGGAUAAUCCAUUACUAGUAUCUUACUUAACAACUUCGACUCUUUCAAAUUCAUUCACCUCUUUUGGUUUUUGGUUACUCCCACCGAUAACUCUAUUUUCAGUUAAUUAUCAUUUUUCCUUUUUUCUUUAUUAUUUCUUUUUUCUAAAUUUAUAGUAAGCGAAAAAAAAAUUAAGUCAUGAAACCACAACAUCAUUGGAAAGAUCUCGUCUCUAAAAGAAGACAUUUUAAUUAGAAUGUUGAGGACUUUACAUUUAAUUGCUCAAAAUUUAAAUAACCUUUAAAAUAUGGAAUCAUUGCACAUGAAGAAGAGAUAUGGGUUCAACAAAGAUGUUUGUGAUGAUACAUGUUAUGAGGAUAUUGAGGAAAACAAUGACUUUGCUUCACCAGAUAAUAUCAUUCAUUCCAAGGAGAAUAUUAGUUGGUCAUUUAAGUCUACAACAAAUUCUCCACACACAGGUAUUGAUUUGGAUCAAUAGUCAAAAUUUGAUGACUAUAUUUGUUGUUACCAAAAUUUCAUACAUUAAAGUGAUCGAGUUCGCUGAGAUUAGGACUUUGAUAACGUCUUCAUUUUCAGGGAGAUCCCAAACUUUAUCAUGAUGCUUCCUAACUUGCAAAAUAGACAAAUUGUAAGGGUGUCGGUGUUGUUACUUGCAAAAAUCUUUCGAUACUUAAGUUAGAGUUAAAACAUUACAGGAGUAACAAAUUAAGAAAAGAAAAGAGCUCUUCAUCUCGUGAAUAGAACAACAUUGUAUAAGGAGACUUUACUUGAAUCCAUGUAGUGUUAGGAUAUCCCAAGGAAUCAAUAUGUAUGUGGUUUAUUCUCAAUUCAAAUAUGUCCCAUUCUUAUUCAUAUUAGGUCACCCAGACCGAUAAUAGUGGUUAGAAAACGAGUACAACCAUUAUUCCCCUAGUUUACUUAUUCUAUGCCCGGAGUAAGAGGACAAGUAAACUAAAUCAUAAAUUAACAACAUGAUGAUAGGGUCUAGUAAACAAGGUCGAAAAGUAAUAGUCAAAAUGAAGGAUCGAGAAAGGUUGUAAUCAUCAGGGGCAAAAUUAGGAGAGAUGAAGCUGCACUAAAAAGCCAAAAAGAGGAUGAGUUAGAGAUAUGUGCAGAUUAACGUAAAAUGACAUGAGCAAGUCUUUCAACCAAUCAUAUCAUAUCGCCGACUGUAAAAUAGGAAAAUCCUAGAGAAUAGCUAAUGAUCGAACAGCCAGGGAAAAAUAGUGGGAAGCAACUAGGAUAUGACAAUUUAGUUUAAAUUUUCACCGGCUAUAGCAAGUGGCGUGAUAAAAGCAAAAGUGAAUGAUUCACUUCUAUCCCAGAAACCUAAUCUAAUUCAAAUUUUAAAAAUUUUCUGAAUGAUAAGAGAGAAAAGUAAGAGAAACCGUGACUAACAGUAGAGAUAGUUAUUAUUCAUAUAGAUUUGUAUUUUUGUCAUCAUUUAUAUGUUUUGAAAUUGAAUGAAAGAGAAUAUAUAUAGUACGAUUUUUACGAUUUUAUAUUGUAAGAGUGUUAAUUUAGGUUGAUUUUGGGAGAAACGACCAGUUCUUGCCCAUAAAAUGGAUAGUGAUAGAGGUUUGGUGGAUAGCGAUUCGCAGAAUCUAUCAAGGAAAUCUUUAGUCUAGGCUUUUGAAGAGGAUGAGGGGAAUUCUAGUGAAAAAGAUUGAUAUCACAUAGAGGGUCGGAUAUCGCCCUAUUUGGGAUACUGAUACAAGUUAUAGUAUUUCCUUAAAGAGGAUGACCUUAAUGUUUUUAAGGGGAAAUACAAUAUUCCCAGUGAAGUGAGAAUAAGGCUACCCCGAAGACGAGAAAAGCCUAGUAGUCCCCUUGAGAAUACAGUAGUUAUUUGCAUGAAGUUACCUAUAUAGCCUUAUUUUGUCAAGAUGUUAAGUUCCUUAGGGUUAGCUCUUUGUCAGUUAGCCUUAAAUGAGCGAAGGACCUUGGGCAACAUGUAUUUGUUUUAGGCGGAAGCUGGUAUACCCAAGCCCACAUUUCAGGAGCUAAAGAGAUGUUUCAAAAUGAAAAAUAACCCAAAGAAGCAUGUUGGUUGACACUACCUAUCGGCUUGGCUUAGGGUAAAAAAGUUGAUUAUAGAUCUUUUGACCACAAACAAAGAUUUUAAAGAUCAGUGGCUCUGGGUUUACAGAGAAUGAGAUUAAUAUUCAAAAGAUUUGAAAUAUAAGGUGUAAUGUGUCUUUAGGUAGCCAAGUCUGAUUCCUGUUAAAGGAGAUCUUUUUCUUUAACUUAAUCGAAGCUUAUUUGAGAAAUAAUAUAUUCGCAUGGUUGUGCAAGUUUAUAGAGGAUCAACCAAAGACAAUAGUUUGGUACUGAUCUCAUAUUAGAGGGGCAUUUUAGUAUGAUCGUCCAUAUAUUAAUCUUUUGAUGUUGGAGAAUUUGGAAGGGUGCAUUUUAGUAUUAGGAGUGAAGCAAACCAUACAGGGAAAAAAGAAAGGUAUAAAUGUUGGAUUUCCAUUCUUUAUUCGACAGAAAAUUGUGAUUAAUUAGGUUUGUGAAGCAGAGAAAAUGUCUUCGAGAAUCUUGGGAAGAUUGAAGAGCAAAAGACAAAGAGAAGAACAAAUAGAAAAUGAGUCUGAUCAUGGAGAUCAAGGAUUGGCUUUGUCGACCUCUGGGCCAUUAAUACAAAAAUCCCCAUUGGUCAUUUGUUGAACUACAAUAGAAACAACUUCCCCAACCCAUCUCACUUUUGGAGAUACAAUUUCAAGGCCAUGGCAAACUCUCAUUGAAGCUAAUAAAAGAGAAAAAAGAGAGAGGUUUGAACAUACCCGAUGUGUUGUGCAUUUUACUGAGGCUUAUGUAAACAAAGAGAAGGUUGAAGAGCUUAAUAAACUAUCCACCACUGAGGCUUGGAACAGUUGAUGGAACACGAUCAAGAGGUAAUAUGCUAUCUUAUUCGAGUUGGAAACUACCUAUAAUCAAAAUAUUUUAACCGUUAUAUUGUAUCAAGCAAAAUAUCUACACUGUAAAUUUAAGAGGCAAUGUGAUUAGUUGAUCAAGUUAGGAUUUGAAGUCCCUGCCCUAAAGAAUGAAUUCCAAAAGAAGAUGGAGACUUUGAAGGCCCAAUUUGAAGAAAGAGAAAAAAAUGAUUUCACUGAGAAGGAAAGCUUGAAGCAAAGGGUGAAAGAAUUAAAAAAGGAUCUAUAGGGUCUUGAAGAGCUCGAGAAAUAAAUUUCCCACUCUGAUAAUAUGAUCAUAGAGAAAGACAAGAUAAUAGCUAAACAAAAGCUUAUGACUGAUUAGUUGAAGGCCGAACACCAAAUCAAGUAUGACGAUGGGUCUUUUCUUGGGUUUGAAUAUGCUUUAAAAGUGGCACUGGAGAAGUACCCACAACUAGACCUCUCAAGUUAGGAUGUUAUAAUCUAAUUUUGAAGGACUAUAGUUGACUUUAUAUUAUGUUGGUAACAAAUGUCCACAUGAAUUUAAAAACAAACUGUCAAAAAGCUUGAUAUCUUGAACUCGAACCAUAAUAGGAGUUAUAAUGUCUUGUGCUCGGGCCACAAUAAGGGCAAAAAAUAGCUAAAAAUCAAGCACGAAAAAGGCCAAAAUUCAUAAGAUUAGGCUACAAACGAAGGUAAAAACAAUUAAGAUUGAGCUAUAAUUAAGGACCAAAAUGAUUAGGCUACAGUCGAGAGCCAAAAUAACUAAGAUUAGGUUGUAGUUGAGGGCCAAAAUAUCUAAGAUUGGGUUGUAAUUGAAGGCUAAAAUAAUUAAGAUCGAGCUCCAGUUGAGAGCCAAAAUAAUUAAGACUGGGCUGAAGUUGAGGGCCAAAAUAAUUAAGAUUGGGCUACAGUUGAGGGCCAAAAUAAUUAAGAUCAGGCUGCGGUUGAGGGCAAAAAAUUUUACAAGAUAAGCCAUAAAGAGGCUAUUGGGAUAAAAUCAAAUAAAUAAAAUAAGAUAAAUUUAAUAGUAAAUAUAAAAUUACUUAGUAGUUGGUAAGAGUAGUGAGGUUAGCUCAAACAUAAUUUCUAUGAAUCAUCUCUGCAUUCCAAUGUUUUUUGACCUUAUGCCCAUCCACGCUUUCGAGCUAAUAAAUUCUCGGAUGCACCAUUUUGGUAAUCUUGUAGGCUUUGUUAACUUGGCUCCAGGACUUUCGUCCUUAAGGAGCAUUAUGUUAAGUGUAAUUUUUCUAAGUAUAAGGUCUCCCUCAAUGAAACUUCUAGCUCGUACAGUCUGAUUAUAAUAACGGGUAGCUUGUUAUUGAUAAACUGCCACCCGAAUUUAGGGUCAAGGUUAGCAAACAAAAUCUGCUGGUUUUCAUCUUUUGAAAAAUUUUAUACACGAUAAAUGGGAAGUCUAUUCUCCAUUGGAAUGACAACUUUAUGACCAAAGGCUAGGGAAAAAAGAGCUUCUUCUGUAGUUAUUUUGCUGGUCAUUCGAUAGGCCAAGAGUACUUUGUGAAGCUUGUUAACCCAAUCUCCUCUAUGUGCUCCAAGUCAUGUUUUUAGGGCCUUCUGUUUUACCUUGUUAAUGGCUUUUUCUUGGCCAUUAGUCUUCGGUUGUGCUAAUAAGGCAAAUCAAAUAUCGAUAUUAAGGUCGAUAUAGAGACUCUUGAAUUCCGAGUUAUCAAAUUAUUUUUGCACGUGAGUCCAUAGAAGAGAUGGGUUACUUCUAAAAUGGGAGAAAUUCUAAAAUACCUCAGAUGUAUUACAACCAAUUGAUGCAUGAAUGACAUGUGUAAUUAAAUUUAAUACAAUCACCACUUGGAUGAUAGUGAUUUAAAAUAAAUACACACAUGUCAUGUCAUCAUUACUUGUUGUAUGGGUGACAUGGUACCUCAGAUGUAUUUUAAAAUUUCUCCUAAAAUGGUCGUGAUGUAUUAAUGUCAAUCAGAUACCGAAAGCAAUGAUUAUGAUAUUAUAAGUACACUGGGCUCCGGGCUUUUGCCGUGAAAAUUGUAUUGGUUGACUAAGGAUUUGGGUUGCAUUGGCUUCCCAAAUCAUCGAUUUUAAGAUAGAUUUUAAAAAAAUCAAUUUUAUAAAAUGAAAGGAAAUCAUAAUAAACAAAAUAAUAAAUGUUACUAUCAUUAUCUAUAUUUUUCGUAUUUUACAAAUAAUGAAAAUAUUUUGUUUCAUUUUGAACUGUUACAAUAACAGAAAGCUUUAGUGUAAAUAGGUUAGUGGAUAAUAAGUAACUUACUAAAAUGGGAAAAUGCCGCCAGCACUAACUGUUUCGAUAACGGCACAUCACCAGCACCGGCGAAAAAGUUUCUCAUUGAAGCAAAAUACUGACCAUUGAAUACAAAAUUCUCUGAUCUCUACGUAUAACCAUGUCGGCCAAACCAUCAAAGGAGGUAUGAAAAUAACCCAAAAUCACAUAAAUUGUGGUGGCCUAUACAACACCGCCGCUAAUCGACAACGCAAUAUGCCAAACCCCAGCCCAAAACAUCCUUUGUAGACGCUGGGCACUAUCAUGUCUCAUUCUCUUAUUUUAUAUUUUAAAGAAUUUUUAGUUAUUAUGAGCUCCAUUCCUAUAUGUAUCAAAAGGAUCUUGUUACAAAUUUAUAAGUGUAGAGGAUUUCAAUUCGUAAAAGUUUAUUGUUGCUUGGAGUCUCCCCAAGUAGCGCCUUAAACGAGUGAAUUUGUAAUCUUUCUUCUUUAAUUAAAAAAAAAAGAGUCAUGAUAUUCGUAAUAGGAUGAUAUUGUCUCAUAGAUUUCUAUUUUUUUUUCAGAGCAAAAAGAUUACGAAUUCACCCAUUUAAAACUAUACUUAGGGAGAUUUCAAGCUUCCUCAAAUAAAUUUUUAUGAAUUGACACAGAAGAAUUGUUCCACCAGUUAUAAGCAUUAAGACUUAACUCCAAAUUAACAAAAUUGUCUGCCACUGAAUUGCCCUCUUUGUAGAUGUGUGAACUAGUAAAGUGCAUUCCAUGAUUAAGUUUAAACAACUCAACCAUCUGAUACGUAGAUGUCAUGUCGGCUUGAAUUUGGUACUUUAAGAUAAGCUAAAACUUAAGACGAGUUACCCAAUAAAAUGCCAUCCUUUUGUAACUGCAAACUCAAUAGCCUUUAAAAUGAUAUAUCUCUUUGCAUAGAAAGAUGUUUGAUGGCCAAGCGAUUGCGCAAAACAACCUCGAAAAGCACCAAUGGAACCACCCAAGCGACUUCACAAAAUAGCCUAAAAAAGCACCAUUGAAACCACCCAAGCGAUUGCGCAAAACAACCUCGAAAAGCACCAUUGAAACCACGAAACCCGGCACCACAAGCUGCAAGACCUAGGUUUCUCUUCGCCAAACCGUCUGUGUUAACUUUGAUCUAAGGAGCUCUUGGUGAAUGCCAAAAGAUAGUGAUUAUAGAUGAGGAUAAAUGGCUGGCACAAGAUAAAUGCAAAGUGGAAUAAAUAGGCCAAGAUGCAUCAGCACUUUGUGGAUUAACCACUCCAAGAAAUGGCAAUGAUCGAUUCCGAAAUCGAAGACAAUUUCGUGCCUCCCCCAUAUAGUAAAUUGCAACAAGGUAACAAACUCUCCAUAAAUAAGAAACAUUGCCGGUGAAGGUUGUCUCAAAAAUCAAAUUUCUUAGAACACGAACAUCUACCAAUGUUGGAAAAUGGCGAUGAGAAAGGGGCCAAUUCAAGCCCAAAGUUGCUGCACACAUGAGCUUUCAAGAAAUAAGUGGGCUGCUGCUUCAUCACUGGAACCACAAAGUAAUUAAGCAAGCAAAGAUUAUCAUCAGUGGCCAAACUAUUAUUGAAUAGACGGUAGGCAAGUAUAGAGAACUUCGAUGGAAAGUAGCGAUCCCAUAACAACUUAUAUAAAGGCUGCAAAGGCUGAUGAUCCGUUAAAAAAAAAAAGCUGAAGAAUCAGACUAACUCAAACAACUAUUACAGGAAUGCAUCCAAACUAGUUUAUUUGAUAAAGAGCUAAUGGGAAGAUGGGCAAUCACUACUUCAUGAAAGAAUUGAGGGAGCAAUGUGGCGAAAUGUGUAAAAACACACCAUGAACUUUUAUUUAUCAAGCUAUCAACAGACAAUAGCAGCAAGUGUAAACUAAAACCAUCAGUAUUCACUAAAUCUAGAAUAGAUUGACUCCGCCAUGCAUCUUUCCAUAAAUUAAUAAAGUAGCCAUUACUAACUUGCCAUCUAUAACCUGCCACCAAAGAAGGCAUUACUCAAACUAUGCCAGACAGAAUUGGAAGCAACAAUAGAUCAUACAGUCUUUAAUAAAGCAACAUGAUUCCGAUGAAAAAGAUUGCGAAUACCCAAACCGCCUUCUUCCAUAGGCACAAGCACCUGAGACCACACAACCGUCACAAGUUUUCUAGAAUCACGAGUGCCUGACCAAAAAAAAUCGCGAACCUAUGCAUAAAGGCAAUGGAGCAGAGAAGAGGCCAUAAAUAAACCAUAAAUUCAUAGAAUUGAAUAAUGUAGGGUGUUGUGUGUCACGAGUAGGGUACCUUCUGGAGGCUAUAACUUGGCCUAUAGGUGCCCGUUUUUCAGUGUAUAAUAUACAAUUUCAAAGCUUGCGAUGAGGCGAACAAAAAUCAGAACCAUUUAAGUUAUUUUGCAUGUGGUCGAGCCAUAAAUUAUGCUUCUUUCCUGGCUAUUUUUUAGUUUUAAGAUUUUUUUCCUAUUUUUCCUAAUACUUCUAGAAUUUUUAUCUUUUUGUCUACAACUCGAAUUUAAGUGCCAUUUGUUUUAAUUUUAUUAUUUUUAUUAGAAGAAUUUAAUUAUUAUAUUAUAUUUUAGAUUUACUUAUUUUUGUAAAUUCACGAUAUUUAGACUUAUUAUAAAAGGGGGUUUAAACCCUAAUUUUAUUCAUUCAAACUUUCAAUAAGAUUUAUCACUAUUUAUAAAUCUAGUUUCUUUUUUCAGCAAACUCAAUAACAUUUCUAUUUCGUUAGUUGGUAUCUGAGCAAGUUUGUUUGUCAUCAUGGUACGACCACACGAACAAAAGAACAACCGUCCCAAAGACGUUGAUCAAGGGAUGCAGGCAAUGUCCAUGGAGACUAUUAGACAGAUGAUCAUAGAAGCGGUCUUGCAAGUCACAGGGAAUUCAUGCAACCCGAGAAUGACAGUAAUAGAGCAAGUAAUUGAGGGUUUCACGCUUUCCAUGAAUAAUAUAGAGAGACAACAAUGACAAAGAGUUAAUCACGAGAGGGUUGUUGAAGGAGUGAAUCAAGAUGAACAAUCUUGGGAUUAUCACCAUGAAGAGGUUCGACAGGGUUUCAAUCACGAAGUAAUACCUCAGAACCUAGAACCAGUAAGGCGAGUGCAGCUGCGCGUUCGUGAAGAGUUAGGAAAUGAUUCGGAAGAAGAAGACGCUACCUUAAUGGUAUUUCCCAAGUGAUAAUUCUCUGGGUAAGUAACAAAGCAGCUGCAACAGAGCACUGCUUCUAUGAACCAAUCUUUCAUCAAGAUAAAGCGUACAAGGGAACGAAAGUCGGUAGCAAGAUGUUGAUACAGCUGCUCUGACCACAGCAAAUUAAUAGCAAUAGUGAAAGCGCACCUGCAAUUAAGGAUAAUAUGAUCCAUCUAUUCAAAGAAAAUAAAUUAUUUGAAAUAACAUAAUGUAAUAUCUCAACUAUACUGCAGAUAUCAAAUGACAGAAAGUAAAUUACUUUUCAUUUGGAAACAAUAAACAAAUAAUAAUCUCAAAUUUGAAGAAUUAGAGGUUAAAAUUUUUCCUUUUUCACAAAUUUAAUCAUAAUUUAUUAAAUUAAAAAAUAAUAUAAUAUUAACAAUGGCCCCUCAAUUUCUCCAGGAUUUCAACACACGAUUUAAUCAGCCAUCACAUAAAAGAAAAACAUAACAGAAAACAGCAUUCAAAACCCUAAUUUUAGAAUCAUCGAUUGAUGGACUUUGGGGGAUUUGAAGCACAUAAGAGAAAGAACCGUCUCCAAAACGGAAACCCUAAAAUCUUCAGUAAGGUUCAAAGAUUUAUUUAGUUUUGAAAUUGAGAGAUUGAUAGAUCCUUUUACUUCUCCGUCGUCGUCAACAUCUUCAAUGCCAUUCAGGAUUUGUGCGAGCUGGAGAAGAGAUAUUACGUUUAGUUAUUCGUUGUAAAUUAUUUAACAAAUUCUUGAAUUUGAGAGUCAUAAAAAUGCUUGAGGAUACUCUGAAGAAAGGUCAUCAAAAUGUUGUCUAGUAGAAUUCAGAAAAUAGAUACAAUCACAUUGGUCAAGAAAAUCAACUUCCACUUGCUAUAAGAGCUUAGAAAAUAGAUAUCACUUGCUAUAAGCUAAAAAAUAGACUUAAUUACUUAGGCUUAAUUUUUAUAUCCAUCUAGAUGACAUAGAUUAAAUUCAAGUUGUCCCUAAAAAAUUGGAGAUUAAUAAUAAUUAGAUAAUUACUAGUUGAAUAGUGGUGGAUUCUGAGAUUUUGGUAACAUUUGUCUUAUUGAAACUCUUUUGCUUUAGUUGUUUUCUUAAUUUAAUUAGUUUAAUUCCUUUAUAACUCAAUUUGUUCAACUAGAUUAGGAUUAAUAUUAAUUUUAGAUUUAAAUUAGACUUUCCCCUUUAGAUUCGACUUCAUUACCAAUAUUUUAUUUAUGAAGAUUCAUGCACUUGCGAAUAUAAUAAAAUUUUACUUAUCCCGUAUAGCUAGCUAUUUUUUUAGAUUGAUCUAUGAAAUCAUGCCAUAAAAGAAGAGGAUUCAGAUUCUAGAGAUACUUAGUAUGUCUGCUUGAUUAUUAACCAAAGAUGUCAAAGAUGCGGCUAGUUAACAUCAUUUUCGUGUAUAAAAAAUUCAUAAAACAAUUCAAUUUGACUCAAAUAACAUUUAUUGAACUAUAUACAAAGACAUAAAAAAGCUUAAGGAUUAGGUUGAAAAUAAAGAAAGGAGAAAUAAGAUAAAAAUAAUUUAAGUUAUCAACUCCUCAAGUGCUUGCAUGCAAUUAAGGAUAUUUUAGUGCUCUUUUGGUGUACUUAUUUUGGCCUCUUCUCGUACUUAUAUUAUCUCUACAACACAAUGUUUUGAUGAAAAUAGCACCGUCCUGCAUAUUUGCCUCAAAUCUUUGAAAAAUAAUGUUGUUUGAUACAGUUAGUUGACACACUUUUCAUGUAUAAAGAAAUCCAAUUAUGCAAGCAUGGUAAUUUUUGAUAUAGUUAGUUGAACUUAAUCAUUUUUCUUUUUUUUUUCAAACAUUUCUUAGCUUUUUGUUUUUUAAAGGGUGGGCAAUAACUGAACGAGAACCGAAAAAUUUUGAUUUGCUUUAGUUUUUCUCAAUUUUGGUUCGGUUUUUUAAGCUAAAAAAUAGAAUGUAUAGAUAUUGAUCUGAACUUUCGGUUUGGUUUUCGGUUCAACAGUAACAAAACCCGAAUUGAAUCAAUAAUAUUGUUUGGAUCCCUGUCUUUUAUAAAAUUUUAGUAGGGCCCAAUGUUUAUGAAAUGUUUGUAUAUAGAAACUUUGUUAUGGCCUGAUAUUUUUUGCAAACUUUUCAAACAGGUCCUUGACUGAAAGUCAACAUCACAAAAUAUCAUUAUGCCCUCUAAUGUUUUGAUAAAAACUAUUAUGACACAGAAACUUAUUUUAUUUUAUUUAUAUUUUGGUCUAAAAGUUUUGAUAUUAAAAAUAGUGACAGUAAUUCUAAAAUUCUUUAUUUUAGUCCAAAAUUCUUGCAAUUUUUUUUUUUGCAAAUAUAAAUUUGUAAAUUUUUUUUUUGUCCAGUAUACAUUGAUUAUAGUAGGUCUUUUUGCAAGUUAAGAUGAACCAAAAAAUUGAUUUGUUAAUCUGAAUCGUUAAGCAAACUAUUACCAAAAAACCAAAACAAAAACGAAAAAACAAUACCAAGCUGAAACCGAAUCGAAUUGAACUAUCGGUUCUAAUUCAGUUUUUAUUUUCCUUAAAGAUUGAAUAUUUUUUAAAUUUCGGACCCGAAUUGAACUGAAAUCAAAAGUUUAUCCCGAAACCGAACCAAACCAAACCAAUGCCCACCUUUAGUGACGGUUAUUCUUUGUUGCAAUUCUGUGGUAUCUUCAAUACUGAAGGGAGUUAUAAUUCAAUUAACCAACAUACUUUUACUUCUACCCAUUUAUUGUAGCAAUUAGGAUUGUUAUAAUUAUCCUAAUUGCUAGAGUCUUUUUCUUGAAUUUGAAAAAUUAUAAAUUUAGAGGUUUUAUAGAGGCUACUUAUGAUUUCUUGCAUAUAGCACUUAUAUAAGAGCAUAUAUAUAUAUUUUUUCUAGUCAUUUUUGUUUCUUUAUAGAAGUGAUUUUUAAAGGUUCAGCUAAUUAAUACUUUAAAACAAUUUAAAUUAUUAUAAUAGCAGUUAAAUUUUAAUUUCUAUUUUUUAAUUUUAAUUUAUUUCUUAGUCUUACUUUUAUGCUACAUGAGUAUUUAAUUGCAUAAUAGUAAUAGUUUCCAAGGUUGAUUGACAAUCAAGUGAUAAUAGGAGUAAUAAAAAGGAGUGAUGAUACAGUUACAAACUCUUGUACAAACUUAUUUUGUACAAAUUGAUGUGGCAUUAAUUCAUUGAUUGAAUAAAGAUACAAAAUAAUGAAAAUAAAUCAUGUGGGCCAAGAGAUAUUUAAUUCAACCAAUUUUAUCAUGCCACAUCAGUGUGUAUAAGAUAAGUUUAUACAAAAAUUUAUGACUAUAUCAUUACUCAAUAAAAAGUAAGGAAAGAAACAAAUAAUAUUGUAUAAGAAUAACGGCGUAAAAAUAAAAACCAAUGUAUCGUCAAUUGGCCAAUAAUUUCAAUAUAUUAACAACUAAUAUGGUGGUCCUCAACCGCAUUUCUCAUAUCAAUCAAUUCCUUCCCAUCACAAUAAAAGUCCAUUAUAACAAAAGUGGAAAAGUGGUCUCAUACUCGUUGUUGAUAUAUUUCUCAUACUCAUUGUUGAUAUGUUUCUCAUUUAUUUCUUCUUUAUGCAUUCAUUUUGGCUCCUACGAAAAUCGUCUAAUUAUGUUUCAAUUAUGUUACCCUAGCCAUAUAACCAUUUAAUUUAUUUAUUUAGAUUUAAUGUCAAACUAAAUUUUGUAUAAGUUUUAAAAAUAUUUAAUAAAUAGUUAUUAGAAAAGAAAUUAUUUCUUAAUUAUAUUGUUUAUAAAUAUAGGCCUGAUAGAAGAGGUGCAAAAUUUUCCUAAUUAUGUUGCAUGCUUCAUUGCUCAAGAAAAAAUUAGGACACUACAAAGUAAAAGAAUAGAGUGCGGCACUUGUCACUAGUCGGCUACGUGAACGCAUGCAUGUAUGUGUUAAUUCAUUGGUCACGACUGACCAUUAAUUUCUAGCUCUUCUUUCAGGACUUCACUGUGGUCGUCUAAAAUCUCCACAAAUAAAAAUCAUUAAGAAAGUGAAACUAGGACUUUGUUUUAACAAGAUUUCUUAAUAUGGGUUGAUUUGUGUCAAUGGUCACAGUGUAAAAAGCUACUGGCCUGCAAGUAUAACAUAUUGAAACUACGGUCCUUAUCUUUGUUAUUACGGUGGACUUAUGAAUAAUCAGAAAUGUCAAACAGGUUGUAGACUUAUCAUGGUAUUUGUUAAUUUGUACACUUUGACCAUCUAUAAUUGAGAUGUUAUAAUUGAUCUUUCAGGUACCAUAUUCCAAGAUCAUGGGUGAAGCCAACUGGGAAUCUCUGGGCUAUGUUUGAAGAAUGAGGUGGUGACCCAACAAGAAUUUCAUUUCUUAUAAAAACUACAUAAAUUGAUCCUUUGUGUACUUAACAUUCCUAUAAUUCUAUAAUUUUUACUUCUUUACUUGUUUAGUAACUUCAAAAGUUAAUGCAAAGAAAUGAUUUGUAUUUUACAUUGUUGUCUUCAUGAUAAUGUAUUGUACAAGUGCUUGUUAUAACAAGAAAACUUUUAGUGAAAACCAUCAUCUAUAAUCUAAGAAUAUUCAUGUUGUAUCACCAAAAAUCAAUAACAAAACUAUGCGGAAGCGUACCUGAAUCCAUAAUGUUAAAUUGCUCUCAAGGGUUGUGUGGUUGGCUUUUUAGACCUACACAUUCUCCUAGAGAAUCUUUCAAGUUUUCUUAAGGCUCUCUCUCUGACGAUGUAUUUAAAAAAGAAUAGAAAGAUACGUGUGACAUUGGGACUAUAACCACUUAUAUAGACAACUUUUUUCUUGUUGUCAUUAGGUAUUUCUAAUUCUACCCAUUAUAAAAUUAUAAUACAAUUAGGUCUCUAUAUAUUAAAGGCUCACACUCUAUUAGAUACAUUAAAGCUCAUAAUACCAAAAACCUUAAUAGAUCACUUUUAAUUGGGCUUAAAUCAUAGUGUGAAUAAACCAAAACUUUAUUUCUGCAGAAAAUAACCUAAAUAUCCAUACACUGAUAUAACUAAAAAAUAUCUAUAUUACAAGAGCAUCUAAAAUCACAAACUCCUAAUAAAACUAGAUAUCCUUUGAUGACAGGAUACCUAUAGGAGCAAUAUGCUCAUGAAAUAAUUUGCGUGGUAAUCCUUUACUAAGCGGAUCCGCAGUCAUGGAGUUUUUGCUUAUGUGCUCCAUAAACAACUGUCCACUCUGAACUCUUUCUUUAAGAACUAGGAACUUGAUGUUUAUAUACUUCGACUUCAUCUAGCUCCUGUUGUUAUUGGAAUACAGCACUGCUGACUUAUUGUCACAAAAUAAUUUGAGUGGUCUAUCAACACUAUCUACUAUGCGCAGCCCCAUGAUAAAAUUUUGUAGCCAUAUUCCGCGAUUGGAUGCCUCAUAAUAUGCUAUGAACUUUGCUGCCAUUAUAAAAGAGGCUAUAAGAGACUGCUUAGCACUCUUCCAAGAGACAGCACACCCAGCUAGCAGAUAGAUGUAACGCAAAGUGGAUUUCAUGCUAUCUUGACAUCCAACAAAAUUGGAGCCAGUAUAACCAACUACAUCAAGCUGAUUUGACCUCCGAUAUGUAAGCAUAUAGUCUUUUAUCUCUGUAAGUAUCCUAAGACUCGUUUGGCUGCUUUCCAAUGGUCUAUUCUUAGAUUACUUAAACAUCUGCCCAACAUUCCAGUAAAGUACACAAUAUCUAGUUGCGUACAAACCUGAGCAUACAUUAGACUUCCUAUUACUGACACAUAAGGAAUCUUCUGCAUUUCUUUUUCCUCAAAAUCAUUCUUAAGGCACUGAUUGAGACUAAACUUGUCUCCCUUGGCCAUAGGGUAUCACCUGAUUGCAAUUUUGCAUGUCAAAUCUCUUGAGAACUAUUUCGAUAUAGCUCUUUUGUGAUAAUCGAAAAAUGUCUUGGGAGCGAUCUCGGUGUAUCUGUAUGCCUAAUACAAAAGAGGCGUCAUUAAGAUCUUUUAUCUUAAAAUUCUUAACUAGAAAUCUCUUGGUAUUGUGCAAUAAUCUUAUAUCGCUGCUGGCAAGCAAUAUGUCAUUGAUAUAUAAAACCAGAAAAAUAUACUUACUCCUCCAGAACUUAAGGUAUAUGAAAUCAUCGACCAAAUUCAUCUCGAAAUCGAUUGAGAUGAUCACUUGAUGAAACUUGAAAUAUCAUUGUCAAGAUGCUUGUUUGAGCCCAUUGAUGGAUUUCUUAAGUUUGCAAACCAUAUUCUUUGGGUCUCCAGACACGGUUUUCUGGCUGCAUCAUAUAGAUCGUCUCAUCAAUGUCGCCAUUGAGAAACACUGUCUUUACAUCCAUCUGAUGUAACUCAAGAUCGAAAUACACCACCAAUGCCAUUGUAAUCCAAAAAGAGUUUUUCAAAGAAAUUAGAGAGAAAGUCUCUUUAUAAUUGUAUCUUUCCACAUUUCCUUUCGAAUCCUUCUUGGUUUUAAAUAUCCAUUUGCAACCAAUAAGUUUUGUACCUUCUAGCGAUAGGACAAGAUCUCAUACGUCAUUGUCCUUCAUGGAUUUCAUCUUCUCAUUCAUGGCAUCAAUCCAUUUCUAAGAGUUAGAAAUUUUCAUGGCUUGACAGAAAAUUGAUCAGAUCAUCUUCUAUCAUGCCGAUGUCUACCUCAUGUUCUUGGGGAAAUACAAUGUAAUCAUUUGGCAAUGCACUUCUCUUUUCUCUGGUGGAUCUCUUUAAUAGUAUAGGUUCUUGAGGUAGUAGAGUUUGUUCUUCUGGAGUAACUUCUUAUAUGGGGAAUUCUCUAAUAUUGUCUUGAUCUGUUGUGUCUUGAAUAAAGUCAAGAAUGAGACCCUGAUCAAUGCCAAUAACACCUAUGAGAAUAUCAACAUAUUCCUCUUCAAAGAUAAAGUCUCUAGCUAUAUCUCCCUCUUGCAAACUCAACAUCCUCAAAGAACCAAGCAUUUCUUGACUCGAAAAUCGAUUUAGUCAUGAGAUCUUAAAACUUAUACCCCCUGGAUCAUUUUGAGUAUCCAAUAAUAUAGCAACUUAUUGUCCUUGAGUUUAGUUUAUUUUCAUUAGGCCUAUAAGGUCUUACCUUAGCUGGACAACCCUAAAUAUGUAAAUGCUUUAGACUAGAUUUCUUACAUGUCCAAAGCUCGUAAGGGAGUCACUUUAUUUGGAACCUUGUUCAAGAUAUAUGCUGCAGUCUUAAGUGCUUCUCUCCAAAGUGAUUCUGGUAAGGUAGAAUGACAAAUCAUGCUCCUCACUAUGUCCUUAAGCGUUCUAUUUCGUCUUUCAGCAACAUCAUUCAUAGUGGGCAAACCUGACAUAGUGUACUGUGGGACAAUACCGCAUUCCUCUAGGAAUUUAGCAACGGUCCUGGACGUUAUUCACCCGAACCAUCAUAUCUGCUAUAAAAAUUCGCCACCACGGUCAGAUCUGACGCUUUUGAUUAUUUUGCCGAAUUGGUUCUUAACUUUAACCUUAAAUAUUUUAAACAUAUCCAAGGACUGUGACUUUUAAUAGAGGAGAUAUAUGUAGCCAUAUCUAGAAAAAUCGUCUACAAACGUCAUAAAAUAUUGUUGACCAUUCCAAGCAGCCGUAGGAAAUGACCCACAAAUGUUUGUAUGUAUGAGUUCUAAGACAUUCGAAGUCUUGUUGGCUUCAAAUCUCCUUUUAUUAGUUUGUUUCCCCUUGAUAUAAUUAACACAAAUGUCAAAAUCUGUGAAAUCAAACGGGUUGAGAAUUUCGUCUGACACAAGUCUAUUUAUUCUCUAUCUGGAGAUAUAACCCAAUCUCUUAUGCCAUAACACAGCCGAAUUCUCAUUGGUUAAUUUUCUCUUUAAACCUCGUGUGCUUAAUUGAAGGGUUUCAUUAAAUGAAUCAAUCGUAUCAAGCAUAUAAAGAUUAUCGUCACUAAUAAAGAACCGAAACCAACCAAUUUUGAAUCAUGAAACAACCUGAAUUUUUCAUUUCCAAAUUAACAAGAAUAACCAUAUUUGUCCAAAGCAGAAAUGGAAAUCAAAUUCCAUUUAAAAGGCGGAAUAACAAAUAUUUCAUAAAGAUCCAAAUAAAAUUCAGUCUUUAAUAAUAAUCUAAAUUUUCCAUUUGUUUCAACCCCAACCUUCUUGCCAUCACCUACAUAGAUGUAUCUUUCAGCAUCACUGGGUUUUCAACAACUCAAGCAACCCUUCAUAGACACACUGAUGUGAGCGUGUGCACUAGAAUCAUCCACUACUGCUGUGUUUACUUGCUGGAGUGGGAGUGAGGAGAGUGGAUUUCUCCCACUCCAGCGUUUACUUCCUCUAAAUGGGAAGGGAGUGGGAAUCCCACUCCGUGGGUCCCACCCAUUUUUGGAGUGGGGAGUGGGAGUGGGAAUCCACUCCUACCUCUCCCUUUUUUACCCUUUUAUUUUUUUAAUUUAAUUUAAUUUAAUAUUUUAUAAUUAAUAAAAUAAAUAAAUAUUAUUAUAUUUAUUUGAAUAAUAAUAUUAUAUUUAACUAAAUAAUAAUUUGCAUUGAUUAUAAGUUAAAAUUAUUUUAAAAUAAUAUUAUUAUAUUAAUAGAGAAUUAAUAAAUAUAAUAUUAUUAUAUUUAUUUUAAAAAUAAUAGUACUAUAUUUGUUCAUAAUUAAGAAUAUUAAUAAUUAUAAUAAAUUUACAAAUAUAAUUAAAUAAAUAUUAUUCAUUAAAUAUAUUUUUUAUUUGUUUUGUAAUUAAAAACUAUAAUUCUUUAAAUAAGAAUAAAAUUGUAAUUUGAAACUAUUUACUCCCAAUCCAAGACAAAGUAAGCACAUAAAUUGGAUUCUGAUCUCUAUUCCAUACUUUCAUUCCAGUGUAAAUAAACAACCUACUCCCACUCCCACUCCACACUCCCAAUCAUAGGAUUCCCACUCCUCAGGAUUCUCAAUCUAAUCCAAAAAGUAAACGCUACCUACGUGUGUCUAGGUAUCAAAGUUAAAUUAACCUCAGAAUAAGCCAAACUAAGAAGCAUAACUUUCUUAGCACACCAUACAUGAUAAUUAGUGCAAUGCUUUUUCUUAUGCCCUUCAACCCCACAGAAGAAACAACCAGUACCUUCCUAACCACCUGGUUUCUUUUAUUAUUUCUUUUGAGGUGUUGUAUCUGCAGCUUUCUUAUUGUUGUUUUUUUUCUUGCCCUUAUCCUUGCCCUUAUACUUUAUUGAAAUCAGAUUUGUCAAGAGCGUACUCAUUCUUGCCCUUUUGUUCUUGACAAAUCUCUUUUCAAUUUCUACAAGGAACUCUUUAGCCGUAGUUGCUUUUUAAGUCAUUGAGCCCCUAAAUGCUUCUGUAAUGGCCUUCUUCAUGAUCAUGAUACACAUGCAAUUUGAUCUCUCCCAUCAGCCCUAUAUAUUGGUUCCAAAAUUAACUUUUAUUAAGUCAGAACAAAUUUAGGGCUUAAACAAAAACUUAUUAAUUAUUCUUUUGAAAAGAGCUUUUUAAAUACUUCAGGGACCUCCACGAUAUUAACCAUGAAAACCCUAACUCUUUUUCUUUUCUCUUUCUUUUGUGCGGCAGCCUUGCACCCGCUUCUUCUACCUUAUGCAGCAGCCAUGGCCACCGCUCUUGAGCAGUGUGCUGUUGCUUGGUUGCCGUGGCAUAGCUGCCGGCGUGGCCGUUUAGCCAUUCCUAUUUUUUUUUUAAUUUCGCUACCCUUUCUUUAAUUUAAAAUCUGAAUAUUCUGGAUAUUGUUAUCUAUAUUUCCGAAUUUAGUUCAACAAAACAAUAAAUUUUGUUCUCAAAUUUAAUGAUACUAGAUUUGAGAACACCAAAACUUUAUUCACUAAUUGAAAAUAAAUUCAAUUCUCAAUAAUUCGACAUGAAGAGGCUCUGAUAUCACUUAUUAAAAUAAGAAAACUUUUGGUGAAAAUCAUCACCUAUAUAUCCAAGAACAUUCAUGUUGUAUCACUAAGAAUUAAUAACAAAAUUAUGUGAAGCGUACCUGAAUCCAUAACACUAAAUUGUUCUCUAGGUUUGUGUGGUUGGCCUUUCAGAUCUAUACGUUCUCCUAGAGAAUCCUUUAAAGUUUCUCAGGGCUCUCUCUCUGACGAUGAGAUUUCAGAAAGAAUAUAAAGAUACGUGUGACCUGAGGACUAUAACAACUUAUAUAGAUAACUUUUUUCCUGUUGUCAUUAGAAAUUCCUAAUUCUGUUCAUUAUAGAAUUAGAAUAUAAUUAUGUUUCUACACAUUAAAUGCUCACACCCUAUUAGAUACAUUAAAACCCAUAAUAUCAAAAACUUUAAUAGAUCACUUUUAAUUCGGUUUAACCUUAUAUGACAGUCUGUAAUACAUAAUUAUUUACAUAUAAGCAGAACAUUGGAUUAAGGAUCCAACAAUAUUGGAUUAAAAAAUCCAACAGUUCCAUCAAUGACUUAUGUUUUAGAUUUGUGCAAAGCAAUUGCUGAGAAUCUUAUUGCCCCAUAAAUUGUGUGAAACUUCUUGUAAUAUUUGCAAGCACCCAUUUGUUGUCGUUUUAUUACUUAAUUUAUUGAAAAAAUAAUAUGUAAGUGCAAGAAUUAUUAUAUGCUAAUAUUUUGCUAUUAAAGAAUUAUAAAAUCUUACAUUUUAUUAUUUUAAUGUUUAACAAAUUGAUUAUUAUUUGAUCUUAAAAUACUAAUUAUACCCUUACUUUGAAAAAAUAUAUAAAAUAUCAAUAAAGCUCUUGAGAGAUAAAGAUUGUUUUAUCUUUAGGGUAAAAAAAUAUUAUUAGAAAAUUACAAUUAUGAUUGUCAUCUAAUAAGACUUUUAAAUAUGUUAUGUCUUUGCUCGUUUAUUGUUUGUAAUUGCGUUUUUUUUUUGUCUUUUGCUUUUAACGACAAUUUUCCCGUCAAAUUUUAAUGAAUUCCAAAUUUUGAUUUACUUUUUAUGCAUAAAGGCACUUUUAAUCCUAUUACAUUAACAUAACGACAUGUGUCAAUAUUUUAAGGACUCUCAUGUGCUUGAAAAUAUGAUUUUUAGAGAAUAUUGUUCGCAUUACCCAUUCGGCACGGAGUCAUAUAUUUUUAAAUUUCAGGCACCAAGAGUCCAGAUGUGAAAAAAGAAACAGCGCCAUAAGUCCAAGAGCACGAGUGGUUCAAAGUCGUCUGCCUUAUCAUAAAAUAAAGACUUUGUGACCAUGCUUGGAAAAGAUUUAAAAGACUAAAGACCACAUCGCGCUAGCGGUCUUACAAUGCAAGGUGUUGUAGUUUGAACAAUGUUUUAUGCACAUGGACAAGCAAGAGUUUGACAAGGGCUAAUCAACUGCCACAGAUGAGAAGGGGCAGAUUGAUGAUCAAAUUGCUGAUAAUACGAUUGGAGUUCUCUCUGCAGCUCAGGACACAACAGCUAGUGUGGAAUCUCAAAUACCUCCAUGAUAACCCAAACUUGUUUAAGCUGUAAAGGUAAGAUUAAGAAAUUAUCCCAUUAAAAGAAGGGCAUGAGAUUGUGCUAAGUGGUUAUUUUUAUCAUUGGUUUAAUGUUACUAAAGGCAGAGCGAAAAGUUGUAUAUGAAUAAAUUAAUGGAGGCAAUUUAACAUGGGCACAGACAAAGAAUAUGCCAUGUACAUAUAGGGUAAGUUCUACAGUGUUUCUAUAAUUACCGUGAUGAAAAUUGAAAAUCAUCACAGCCUCAAUAAAAGAAUCUAAAAGGAAUUCAGAUUUAUUGGAAAUAGAUGUAGGCAAUUAAAAUCUUAAAAUUAACAAUUUAAUUAAUUUUGAAAAUAUUAUUCACUGUUACUGUUUACCGAUACUGUUCAUCUGUAUAAAAAAUAUUAAUUUUUUAAAAACAAAAUAAAUUACAAAAAUUAAAUGACAUGGAGAUUUUUACAUGGUUCAGAUUGAUCAAUCCUACAUCCACGAGGCCACACCCAGAUGAAAAAUAAUUCACUAAGUUGAGAUGUUACAACUUAUGGAUUUACCAAAUUUUAAACUCUUACUUACAGUUUAUCACCAUACAAUUUACUCAACCUUAAACUGUACCUGCUUCUCUUAAAUAAUUGCUACCCCUCUUGAUACACAAUCCUCAAGGCACUUCACAAAGUGAUCAAUAGCAAUUUUUCAAUUCUUCAAUGUCUAGUGAUUCAAGAUCCACAUAAACUCUUCAUAGAGAUGAAAAGAAGAUAAGAAAACAAAUUAACACAAUAUUAUGCGUCAAAUUUGGAUUAUCUAUGGAGGAGGCCGAAUUUUGCUUUUCUGCUUUAUACUUGGUGUUGCACACCUUUAAUUGUAAAAUACCUCUCUUUAUAUAAGCACUAGGGUUUCAAAAAAAUUGUAAAUAUUAAAAGACUUGGAUUCUUUUCAAAUGAGAGUUUCUUUCCUCUUAUAAUUCUUAUGAAUCUGAUUAUGAAUAAAUAUGAUCUUUUUACCUUUCUUAUCUCCCAAGAAAAAUAUAGAGCAUUUAACAAACUUCUUGUUUAAACCAAUUUCAUACUCUAAAUAGAUCUCAUGCACUAAUUAUAGAAUCUCAUUAUAAUUCACUUGCUAAAUUAGAUAUCUAAUUAAAUUAAGAAAUAAAUAUUCUUAAUUUAGCAAGUCAAGUAAUGAUAGGAUUCUAUAAUUGGCGCAUAAUCUCACUAACUUAAGGAAUUAAUAAAUUAAUCCUUAUUACAAGAUAUGUAAUAAAUAAAAUUUUAAUUUAACUAGACUUACCAUAAGAUCCGAACUUUAUAAAUAGCAGGCUUAAUAGAAUCUAAUUUGUAUAUAUCUUGUUAUGCCUUAAUUUCCCAACCUUACACCUCGGUAGUAUAAACGAGAUACGACAGUAAUUGUGAUAUCUAUUUUCAAUAAGAAUUCUAUAUAUCCUUCUACAUGUGUCACCUCGUCAGAUACUUUAAAUAUGACAGAACUCUAUUAAGAUUCUCCCAUAAAAGAACCCCCAAUUAUAAGGUAAGGUGUUUUAGUUUUAAGAGACAAAAAACAAAACUAGAAGGUCUCUCUUCUUCUUAAUUCUUUCUUAAGUUUUUAUCGUCUCUUUGCCGGUAACAACCUCGGUGCCUUAUGAUUUUCUUGUUUUACAGAUCAAAACCUCCAAGUCCAAGUUAGAAGAAUCAAACCGUAUUAACUUGAUGAAAACUUCGAGCUUGAUCUCCACAUAGCCCGAACAUUUUGUGGAUCCAAAUUUUGGUAUCUAACAUAUAAAAAAUUGGAAAUCAUCACAGCCAGAAUUCAAGAAUUUAAUGUUAUUAAAGACAGCAAAAGGUGAAAUAUCAACCAAAUAAUGGGGGCAAAAGGGCCUGAAUAAAAAUGGACAAAGACAUAGAGUAUGCCAUCUACGUAUAGGCUAAGUCUACAGUGUUCUUAUAAUUAAUGUGAUGAAAAUUGAAAAUCAUCACAGCCUCAGUAACAGAAUCUAAUUUAUAAAUUUAUUAUAUAUAUUGAAUGUUUCAAUCGAAUGAGUUGAAAAUCAGUCGCGGUUAAUUAAUUUUAAAAUAAAUUAUAUAUGUGCAUGUCGGUUUCAGUCAAAUGUUCCAAUUAAAAAAUAAUAAUAUUUACAAAGAAAGUCCGCAUCAAUAAACACACAUCAUUUCAAAUUUACUCCUUUUCAGCUACUUUGUUGACACUGUGCUUAGUUUGGUAUAUAAAUACUCGCCCUUCAGAAAAGUAGUGCGAACAAGUUCCAUCGGUUGUUUCCCACAGGGCCAAAAGUAAGAUCAGAGAUGCAAAGCUGGAUAAGCUGCAUACUAUGGCUUCUAUUCACAUGGGUUUGGGUCAAGGCUUUAAAGUCCUUUUCUAGAGGAUCAAUAAAGCUUCCACCGGGGCCGACGCCUUGGCCGAUCAUCGGAAACCUCCCGCAACUUGGGCACAAACCUCACAAGUCACUAGCCGACCUUGCCAAGGUCCAUGGCCCAAUCAUGAGUCUAAAAAUUGGACAGGUGACCACAGUAGUCAUUUCUUCAGCUUCCAUGGCCAAACAAGUCCUUCAAGAUCAUGACGCAGCUUUAUGCAAUCGAAACGUUCCAGAUUCUGUGAGUUCCCACCAGAAGGGUGAAUACGGGAUCCCAUGGCUCCCUGCCUCCACGCAGUGGAAAAAGCUUCGAAAAAUAUGCAACCUACAUAUUUUCACCAGUCAGAAACUUGAUGCCAAUCAAGACCUCCGGCGCAAGAAAAUCCAACAACUCGUUGCUUUUGUUCAAGAAAGUUGCCAUGCGGGAGAAGCAAUCGAUAUUGGCCAAGCAGCUUUCGAUACUGCAGUUAAUCUAUUGUCCAAUACGAUUUUUUCUGUUGAUUUGGCUGACCCUAAUUCAGCUUCCGCAAGGGAGUUUAAGAAUUUGAUGUGGGGUUUGAUGGUAGAAUCUGGAAAGCCUAACGUGUCCGAUUUUUUUCCUAUGCUUAGAAAGCUUGAUAUACAGGGAGUGCGGCGUCGCUUAUCAAGGCAUCAUAUCAAGAUAUUGGAGGUCUUGGAUCGCUUCAUUUAUCAAAGAUUGAAGCAAAGACAAGAACAUGGUUUUGUUGGUUCCAAGGACAUGUUGAAUACUCUUCUCAACAUCAGCGAAAGUGAAAAGAUUGACAGAAAUGAUUUCAAACAUCUUUUCCUGGUAAUAUCUGAAUUAAUUUAAUUUCGUCCUCAAAUUAUGAGUAAUUACGUAACCCAUAAAUUGAUUAAUUACAUAUCUUAACAGGAUUUGUUUGCUGCGGGGGCUGAAACGACUUCAAGCACCUUGGAAUGGGCAUUGACAGAGCUAGUACACAGCCCAGAGGCAUUAUCAAAAGCUCGAUCGGAGUUGGAAAAGCAAAUAGGCAAAGGCAACCCAAUGGAGGAAUCAGAUAUCGCUCGGUUACCUUAUCUACAAGCAGUAGUUAAAGAAACCUUGAGGUUGCAUCCGGCUGUUCCAUUGUUAAUCCCUCGCAAAGCCUCAGUAGAUGUGCAAAUCUCAGGCUUCAUAGUGCCAAAGGGCGCACAAGUUUUGGUCAAUGCAUGGGCUAUAGGCAGAGAUGCAAGCACAUGGGAGAACCCUUACUCUUUCAAGCCUGAAAGGUUCUUAGGGUUAGAUGUUGAUGUCAAAGGCCGAAAUUUUGAGCUAAUUCCGUUCGGAGCUGGGCGGCGAAUAUGUCCUGGUUUGCCAUUGGCAAUAAGAAUGUUGCACCUAAUGUUGGGUUCACUUAUUAAAUCAUUUGAUUGGAAGCUUGAAAGUAAAGUUACAACUGAGAACAUGGACAUGGAAGAGAAGUUUGGCAUCACCUUGCAGAAGGCUCAACCACUUCGUGUGGUUCCUGAUGCCAUUUAAUUAUGGGAAAUGAUAAAUAAGUACAAAAUGGUGACAUAAAUAAGUUUGAAAUGAUGUCAUUUCCUCAUUAGGUGGCGUUUGUUUUUUUGUCU
rnacentral:lncRNA from 1 species